GACGGAGGAUGCAAGCGUUAUCCGGAAUUAUUGGGCGUAAAGUGUGCGUAGGUGGUCUGACAAGUCACAUGUCAAAGCAUGGUGCUCAACGCCAGAACGGCGUGGGAAACUGGCGGACUAGAGUACAGCAGGGGCAGGAGGAAUUCCCGGUGUAGCGGUGAAAUGCGUAGAUAUCGGGAAGAACACCAGUGGCGCAAGCGUUCUGCUGGGCUAUAACUGGCGCUGAGGGCCGAAAGCUAGGGGAGCGAAAGGG
rnacentral:rRNA from 1 species